UUGGAGGGCAAGUCUGGUGCCAGCAGCCGCGGUAAUUCCAGCUCCAAUAGCGUAUAUUAAAGUUGUUGCAGUUAAAAAGCUCGUAGUUGAAUUUCGGGGUUAGUAGGUUGGUCAUGCCUCUGGUAUGUACUGGUCUCACUGAUUCCUCCUUCCUGAUGAGCCGUAAUGCCAUUAAUUUGGUGUUGCGGGGAAUUUGGACUGUUACUUUGAAAAAAUUAGAGUGUUUAAAGCAAGCUAACGCUUGAAUACAUUAGCGUGGAAUAAUGAAAUAGGUCGUUCGAUCCUAUUUUGUUGGUUUCUAGGAUUGACGUAAUGAUUAAUAGGGAUAGUUGGGGGCAUUAGUAUUCAAUUGUCAGAGGUGAAAUUCUUGGAUUUAUUGAAGACUAACUACUGCGAAAGCAUUUGCCAAGGAUGUUUUCAUUAAUCAAGAACGAAAGUUAGGGGAUCGAAGACGAUCAGAUACCGUCGUAGUCUUAACCAUAAACUAUGCCGACUAGGGAUCGGAUGAUGUUAAUUUUUUAAUGACUCAUUCGGCGCCUUACGGGAAAC
rnacentral:rRNA from 1 species